rnacentral:rRNA from 1 species
GGUGAGUAACACGUGGGCAAUCUGCCCUGCACUCUGGGACAAGCCCUGGAAACGGGGUCUAAUACCGGAUAUGACCGUCUGCCGCAUGGUGGAUGGUGUAAAGCUCCGGCGGUGCAGGAUGAGCCCGCGGCCUAUCAGCUUGUUGGUGAGGUAGUGGCUCACCAAGGCGACGACGGGUAGCCGGCCUGAGAGGGCGACCGGCCACACUGGGACUGAGACACGGCCCAGACUCCUACGGGAGGCAGCAGUGGGGAAUAUUGCACAAUGGGCGAAAGCCUGAUGCAGCGACGCCGCGUGAGGGAUGACGGCCUUCGGGUUGUAAACCUCUUUCAGCAGGGAAGAAGCGAAAGUGACGGUACCUGCAGAAGAAGCGCCGGCUAACUACGUGCCAGCAGCCGCGGUAAUACGUAGGGCGCAAGCGUUGUCCGGAAUUAUUGGGCGUAAAGAGCUCGUAGGCGGCUUGUCACGUCGGUUGUGAAAGCCCGGGGCUUAACCCCGGGUCUGCAGUCGAUACGGGCAGGCUAGAGUUCGGUAGGGGAGAUCGGAAUUCCUGGUGUAGCGGUGAAAUGCGCAGAUAUCAGGAGGAACACCGGUGGCGAAGGCGGAUCUCUGGGCCGAUACUGACGCUAAGGAGCGAAAGCGUGGGGAGCGAACAGGAUUAGAUACCCUGGUAGUCCACGCCGUAGACGGUGAGCACUAGGUGUGGGCAACAUUCCACGUUGUCCGUGCCGCAGCUAACGCAGUUAAGUGCGCCGCCUGCGGAGUACGGCCGCAAGGCUAAGACUC